rnacentral:lncRNA from 1 species
AAACCACUCAUGUUAACUACUAAAAUUAUCAAUGCCUACAUCGAAACCACGAGCUUAAGGAUGUAGAAUUCAAAAUAAAUUACAGAUCCAAAUUACUUCUGAUUCUCAAUUUGAACAGAAUGGUUUAAACUAGGCAAGUGUUGGUUAUACUAAGGCUAUGGCUAGACAAUCAUGAGUUCAAAUAGUCCGAAACAGUCCAUUACAGUCCAAAACAAUUUAAUUUCAGUGAAACAAACAACCACAUCACAAGGAAACUAUCUAAAAAUACAGCAGAAUUAUUUAAAGUGUUGCUCCACAGCAGAAAUUUGCUUCAGUUUUAUUUCAAUGUUGUCAAACAGGAGAUGAUACAUCGAAGCAGGCUCGAAAAGUGUACCUGAAGAACAGAAUGUAGUAAGAAGAAAUAGAGGUUAGCAACAGCAGAACAUGCAACAGGAGUUUGAGUUCAAACGUAAAAAUCACACCCAACUUCAUCCCAGAAAUGAGUCGGGAAUCCAUAAAUAUUUUAAAACCAAUAGGAUCAACAGAUCAGGCAAACACAAAUUCGAAUAAAUCCAAAUGACCUCUAAAAUGAACCCAGAAGUACAUCACAAUAACACAACACCCAAACUGAUCCAAAAUAACUCGAUCGAGACCAAAAACCAAUUGAGACCAGACCAGUAAACCUCAAAUUCAGCUUGAUUAACCAAAAACAAAGUGGAAAUCGAACCCUAAGCCAACUCAGUCACUUCAAUGAUUGAACAUCAGAAUUCUACAACUAUCCUCUUCUUCAAAUUAGGCUAGAAACUCGAACAGUUACUAAAAAUUGAAAACUGAUCUAAGGAGUUUAAUGAAACAAUAUUUUUUUGAAUUUUUCUGAUGUUUUUGAGUUUUUUUUUGGUUUUUGAAUUUUGAAUUCCAGGUUUCGGAUCUGGAAAAUUGAGAGAAUACUUUGGAGGGAAAUUUUUGGGUGCCAAAACUUCCUAGUGAAGGCAUGGGAAUGCCUCUUGUAUAGACAUGAAUGAGGGAAACUUCAGAUUUUCUCCUUUCUUAAGUCCUUAUUUAAUUUCAACUUUAGUCCCUCAUUUUUAAACUUGUUGCACAAGUAACUACCAGUAUGAAUCUAAAUUUUUGACUAAUAACCCUCAUAGAAGCUUCUAGUAAUUCCCAAAUUCAGCCCCCAAAUGAAAUUUCCAAAUUGCCCCUUCUAUUAACUUGAAAUUACUAAUCCAAACCACCCUUGUUGACUGACUUACCCUAGUUAAACAAACAUUCAGAUUGUGGGAACUAUCGGCGACUAAAUCUAAAUGAAACAAUGAAUCGACUAAUGAUGAAAAUAGAGCCUAUUUCAAUAAAUCUACUCACCUAAAACUAACAUGAGAUCUGUAGUAAGCUAUUAUUAACAAUUUACCUAACAGAAUUAACAGAAAAGAUUGAACUAAAUUAGAAAUUUUAAGAGACACCAACUAAUUUAAAUCUUAAUCAAUGAUGAACAAUAGUCAGACUAAGGUUUGGAACAUGAUGAAAUAGAUUCUAAGAUGAAUAACUUCUGUGAUACCAAUUGAACAAAAGAAAAACGGAAACACACAAAAUUAGACUUCGACUAAUUACACAACUAAUUGACUAUAACAGAAAUGCUAAAAGCCCUUAAGAAACCUACCAGCUGCUUUUCAAAAAUUAAGAUUCGAAUGAUUCCGAUGGGAUUUGGACGUAUUUGAUUGUGAAUUCUUCCUGGGGAAGACCCAAGGACGCUGUGGUAUCAAUUUGGGAAGAUUUGGUGCAACUGGGGUUUUGGUUGGAAAAACUAAAAUUGGUAUUCGAACAGUUCUGGCGGAAUUCGGGGAACAGGGUUAAGGGGGUUGGGUAGAGGAAGGCCAGGCGGUCAUGGGAUGUUAAUUUGGGCGAGGGCGAGGUAGUGUCUUGGCCGGAAUUUUUUAUAUAUAUAAGAUUCGAGGAUUUAGAUUGUGAUUCGAGGGAAAAGAAGUACGGAUUCGGAGAGAGGAAGGACCGGGGAAUCUGGGUUGUGCAUUUGGUGGAAUUUGGAGAUGUGCCGCCACCAUGAGCAAUUUUCGGAGGCGACGGACGGUGGUGUUACGCAGAGCUGUUAAAGGGGUGUGUUUGGGGACAA